AUAUCAAUAAGCGGGGAAAAGAAACUAACAAGGAUUCCCCUAGUAACUGCGAGUGAAGCGGGAAAAGCUCAAAUUUAAAAUCUGGCGGUCUCCGGCCGUCCGAGUUGUAAUCUAGAGAAGUGUUAUCCGCGCUGGACCGUGUACAAGUCUCCUGGAAUGGAGCGUCAUAGAGGGUGAGAAUCCCGUCUUUGACACGGACUGCCAGGGCUUUGUGAUGCGCUCUCAAAGAGUCGAGUUGUUUGGGAAUGCAGCUCAAAAUGGGUGGUAAAUUCCAUCUAAAGCUAAAUAUUGGCGAGAGACCGAUAGCGAACAAGUACCGUGAGGGAAAGAUGAAAAGAACUUUGGAAAGAGAGUUAAACAGUACGUGAAAUUGCUGAAAGGGAAACGCUUGAAGUCAGUCGCGUUGGCCGGGGAUCAACCUUGCUUUUGCUGGGCGUACUUUCCGGUUGACGGGUCAGCAUCAAUUUUGACCGUUGGAUAAAGUCUAGGGGAAUGUGGCAUCUUCGGAUGUGUUAUAGCCCUUGGUCGCAUACAACGGUUGGGAUUGAGGAACUCAGCACGCCGCAAGGCCGGGUACUUGUACCACGUUCGUGCUUAGGAUGCUGGCAUAAUGGCUUUAAUCGACCCGUCUUGAAACACGGACCAAGGAGUCUAACAUGCCUGCGAGUGUUUGGGUGGAAAACUCGGACGCGUAAUGAAAGUGAAAGUUGAGAUCCCUGUCGCGGGGAGCAUCGACGCCCGGACCAGACCUUUUGUGACGGAUCCGCGGUAGAGCAUGUAUGUUGGGACCCGAAAGAUGGUGAACUAUGCCUGAAUAGGGUGAAGCCAGAGGAAACUCUGGUGGAGGCUCGUAGCGAUUCUGACGUGCAAAUCGAUCGUCAAAUUUGGGUAUAGGGGCGAAAGACUAAUCGAACCAUCUAGUAGCU
rnacentral:rRNA from 1 species